GCGUGAGUGAUGAAGGCCUUCGGGUCGUAAAGCUCUUUUACCAGGGAUGAUAAUGACAGUACCUGGAGAAUAAGCUCCGGCUAACUCCGUGCCAGCAGCCGCGGUAAUACGGAGGGAGCUAGCGUUGUUCGGAAUUACUGGGCGUAAAGCGCGCGUAGGCGGUCUACCAAGUCAGGGGUGAAAUCCCGGGGCUCAACCCCGGAACUGCCCUUGAAACUAUUAGACUAGAAUCUUGGAGAGGUCAGUGGAAUUCCGAGUGUAGAGGUGAAAUUCGU
rnacentral:rRNA from 1 species